rnacentral:rRNA from 1 species
GAUGAACGCUGGCGGCGUGCCUAAUACAUGCAAGUCGAGCGAACAGAUGAGGAGCUUGCUUCUCUGACGUUAGCGGCGGACGGGUGAGUAACACGUGGAUAACCUACCUAUAAGACUGGGAUAACUUCGGGAAACCGGAGCUAAUACCGGAUAAUAUUUUGAACCGCAUGGUUCAAUAGUGAAAGACGGUUUUGCUGUCACUUAUAGAUGGAUCCGCGCCGCAUUAGCUAGUUGGUAAGGUAACGGCUUACCAAGGCAACGAUGCGUAGCCGACCUGAGAGGGUGAUCGGCCACACUGGAACUGAGACACGGUCCAGACUCCUACGGGAGGCAGCAGUAGGGAAUCUUCCGCAAUGGGCGAAAGCCUGACGGAGCAACGCCGCGUGAGUGAUGAAGGUCUUCGGAUCGUAAAACUCUGUUAUUAGGGAAGAACAAAUGUGUAAGUAACUAUGCACGUCUUGACGGUACCUAAUCAGAAAGCCACGGCUAACUACGUG